GAGUUUGAUCCUGGCUCAGGAUGAACGCUAGCUACAGGCUUAACACAUGCAAGUCGAGGGGCAGCAUGGCGGUUGCUUGCAACCGCUGAUGGCGACCGGCGCACGGGUGCGUAACGCGUAUCCAAUCUGCCCAUGGCUCGGGGACAGCCUUCUGAAAGGAAGAUUAAUACCCGAUGGCCUCAUUCCGGGACAUCCCGUUUUGAGUAAAGGUUCGCUGGCCAUGGAUGAGGAUGCGACUGAUUAGUUAGUUGGCGGGGUAACGGCCCACCAAGACUUCGAUCAGUAGGGGUUCUGAGAGGAAGGUCCCCCACACUGGAACUGAGACACGGUCCAGACUCCUACGGGAGGCAGCAGUGAGGAAUAUUGGUCAAUGGGCGCAAGCCUGAACCAGCCAAGUAGCGUGCGGGAUGACGGCCCUACGGGUUGUAAACCGCUUUUGUUCGGGACUAAAUUGGGGGACGUGUCCCCCUUUGCAUGUACCGUUCGAAUAAGCAUCGGCUAAUUCCGUGCCAGCAGCCGCGGUAAUACGGAAGAUGCGAGCGUUAUCCGGAUUUAUUGGGUUUAAAGGGAGCGUAGGCGGGCUGUUAAGUCAGCGGUCAAAUGUCAGGGCCCAACCUUGGCAUGCCGUUGAUACUGGCGGCCUUGAGUUCACACAAGGAAGGUGGAAUUCGUCGUGUAGCGGUGAAAUGCUUAGAUAUGACGAGGAACUCCGAUUGCGAAGGCAGCCUUCUGGGGUGUUACUGACGCUGAGGCUCGAAAGCGCGGGUAUCAAACAGGAUUAGAUACCCUGGUAGUCCGCGCCGUAAACGAUGAAUGCUGGUCAUUGGCGAUACAUGGUCAGUGACUGAGGGAAACCAUUAAGCAUUCCACCUGGGGAGUACGCCGGCAACGGUGAAACUCAAAGGAAUUGACGGGGGCCCGCACAAGCGGAGGAACAUGUGGUUUAAUUCGAUGAUACGCGAGGAACCUUACCCGGGCUUGAAUUGUAGGUGCAUGGGGCGGAGACGUCCCUUUCCUUCGGGACUCCUAUGAAGGUGCUGCAUGGUUGUCGUCAGCUCGUGCCGUGAGGUGUCGGCUUAAGUGCCAUAACGAGCGCAACCCCUGUCCCCAGUUGCCAUCUUUAGGUUGGGCACUCUGUGGAGACUGCCAUCGCAAGAUGUGAGGAAGGUGGGGAUGACGUCAAAUCAGCACGGCCCUUACGUCCGGGGCCACACACGUGUUACAAUGGGGGGUACAGCGAGUCGCUUGCCGGUGACGGCUGGCCAAUCUUGAAAACCCCUCUCAGUUCGGACUGGAGUCUGGAACCCGACUCCACGAAGCUGGAUUCGCUAGUAAUCGCGCAUCAGCCAUGGCGCGGUGAAUACGUUCCCGGGCCUUGUACACACCGCCCGUCAAGCCAUGAAAGCCGGGGGCGCCUGAAGUCCGUGACCGCGAGGGUCGGCCUAGGGCGAAACCGGUGAUUGGGGCUAAGUCGUAACAAGG
rnacentral:rRNA from 1 species